rnacentral:rRNA from 1 species
AACGAACGCUGGCGGCAGGCCUAACACAUGCAAGUCGAGCGAAGCCUUCGGGCUUAGCGGCGGACGGGUGAGUAACGCGUGGGAACGUGCCCUUUGGUACGGAAUAGCCCCGGGAAACUGGGAGUAAUACCGUAUGUGGUCGAGAGACGAAAGAUUUAUCGCCAAAGGAUCGGCCCGCGUUGGAUUAGGUAGUUGGUGGGGUAAUGGCCCUACCAAGCCGACGAUCCAUAGCUGGUUUGAGAGGAUGAUCAGCCACACUGGGACUGAGACACGGCCCAGACUCCUACGGGAGGCAGCAGUGGGGAAUCUUAGACAAUGGGGGAAACCCUGAUCUAGCCAUGCCGCGUGAUCGAUGAAGGCCUUAGGGUUGUAAAGAUCUUUCAGUGGGGAAGAUAAUGACUGUACCCACAGAAGAAGCCCCGGCUAACUCCGUG